rnacentral:sRNA from 1 species
AUUCUGCAUCACCAAAACCACCAAACAGAUAAUUGG